ACGUGCUGGCCCUGUCCACACAGACGUCGACUCCAGCAAAAAUGUCCUGACUGACUUCAGGAGAGAGGAAUUAUUGCUACGUGCCUCUUUCCCAGUGAAGAAAAUCUCUGUUGGCUGCGAGCAGAGAAGCGGCGGAAGGAUUCCCGACUCCGGGAAGCCAGGUGUCGGAAGGAGGAAGUACGCUUGAAGGGGGUCCGGCUGGCCGACUCUGCACUCGUCCGUUCGUGGCCCACCGUGGUGGUCACCAAAUUGAGGGCUUCCUGGAAGGACCUCCUCACGGUGCCCAUCCACUGGGUCAUGUGGGUCUGGGCCACUGUGAGUUUAUCUCCCAGCUGUCUCUCCCUCCCUCUCUGGAAGGCAACACUGAUCCAGGAUCUCACUCUGUUGCCCAGGCUGGACUGCAGUGGCAUGAUCACAGCUCACUGCAGCCUUGGCCUCCCAGGCUCAAGCGAUCCUCCCACCUCAGCCUCCUCGGUAGCUAGGACUACAGGUGGAGCAACACCGUCAGUCAGAAGGCAGCGGAUGGCACAGGGCUUCCGCGUAAGGCCUGCAUCGCCUGAGUCAUGGUUUUCUCAUCUUGUAUGAGGCCCACCCCCUUCAAAAGGUUGUGACAAAAAAAACAACUGAGAUAAUUUGUGCCGCUGGCACAUAGUUAACACUCAAUAAGGCCGGGCGCAGUGGCUUACACCUCUAAUCCCAGCACUUUGGGAGGCUGAGGCAGGUGGAUCACUUGAGGCCAGGAGUUCGAUACCAGCCUGACCAACAUGGUGAAACCCCAUCUCAACUAAAAAUACAAAAAUUAGCCAGGCAUGGUGGUGUGCACCUGUAGUCCCAGCUACUUGGGAGCCUGAGGCAGGAGCAUCUCUUGAACCCGGGAGGUGGAGGUUGCAGUGAGCGGAGAUGGCACCACUGCACUCCAGCCUGGGCGACAGAACAAGACUCUGUCUCAAAACAACAACAACAACAAAA
rnacentral:lncRNA from 1 species